CCCAAAGGGAACAAUGGGUUUCAUUAAUGGAAAUCAACACAUUUAAAAAGAACAUAUUUGUUUGUUCAGAUCACAUCCUUAGAAGUGAUAUAAGGGAGAUAAUAUUAUCAGUAGCCAGACUUUAUUAAAAAAAUCAGCUCUACCUCAAAGGUAAUUUUUUUAAAUAUAUUUUUCUAGUAUAUUUAUAGGUAUGAGUAUAUUUUACCUUAGAAUUAUUGAUAAAGGUUUGCAUGCUUUUAUUUACUACAUUAUGUAAGCUAAAAAAACAACCUUUUAAAACUUGUGCUUGGGCUAUGUUUUAAAACAUACAGCUUCUUCACAAAAAGUAUUAGUGUUACUCAUAUAAGAUUUAUUUAUACCUAAUACUUAUUAAAUUAGGUAUGUGUGUAAAACUAUUUUUUUACUAGGAUUUCUGAUGCACUGGUUAAAAACACAGCAGCCAAUAAUUCAGUUAAUUUACCAAGUGAUUUACCCUUCAAAGCUACAGGGGUAGCUUUCCUGAAGAGUGCAAAAACUUCUUUAGCUUUCAAAAUGGUAUAUAGUACAAACAGUGAAGCUAAUAUAGACACAUCUGAUCAUUCAUCAUCAACAAUAACUGCAUCUGAGAAUUAUAGUUCUACAGUAACCGUGGAGUCUAGGUCAACAAUUACUAUUUCUCAUCCAAGCCGUUUUUGUUUAACUGCUACACAUUCCCUGACUCUGCCAAGGAAAAGGGUAAAAUCAAAAUGAUAUCCUGAGGACCUAAGCACUGAUGAUUCCACCGUUUCAAGAGCUUAAUCACUUGUCACCAGAUUAUGGAAAAAAAAUAAAGAACAAAAAAUUAAAAUUCGAUGAUUGCAACAAGCAAAUUUGCGCCAAAGAAAUUGAAUUAGAUGUCUCAAGUCAUUAUUAAAAUACUUACAUGAAAUAAUAACAUGAUUUUAUGGAAAAGCCCAACAUACUACAUAUUUUAUUUGACUUGUAAAAGCACUUGUUUGUAUAUUACUACUAAUAAACUCUCUAAUCUAAUCUAUUGUA